rnacentral:rRNA from 1 species
AGCAGUCGCCGCGGUAAUACGAAGGGUGCAAGCGUUAAUCGGAAUUACUGGGCGUAAAGCGUGCGUAGGCGGUUUGUUAAGUCUGCUGUGAAAUCCCCGGGCUCAACCUGGGAAUGGCAGUGGAUACUGGCAAGCUAGAGUGUGUCAGAGGAUGGUGGAAUUCCCGGUGUAGCGGUGAAAUGCGUAGAGAUCGGGAGGAACAUCAGUGGCGAAGGCGGCCAUCUGGGACAACACUGACGCUGAGGCACGAAAGCGUGGGGAGCAAACAGGAUUAGAUACCCGUGUAGUCCCUGUCUCUUAACA